AUUUGAAAUUUAUUAAGUUUAUGUUUUACAAAAACACAAGAAAAUAACUGCAAAUAACAUUACAGUGAUUUGCAAAAUAUUGCAUUCUGCUUAGGGGAGAAUUUAAAAAAAAAUAAUAAUUAAAUUAAAAAAAAAAAAUAGCAGCUGCUAUCCCAGCUCCCCUCCCCCUGCUUAGGGGAGGGAAGCUGGGAUGCUUUUACACAGCAUCCCAGCUUUCUUGGCAAUAGGGUUAUACUUUCUGUACCUUUUUCCAGUAAAUAAGGCUUAUCUUGUUAAAAUGACAGUGAAAGUGAAAGGGAUUACUUUCCGACAGUAGUGGGAACAUAUGACUGUGGACCUGGUCUUUAGUGAUGCCACUUUUAGCAUCACUGUGCCUGUCUGCUGUUUUGCUUUCUUUUUCAGUCUACAAUUACUGUAAAUGGUCUUCCUUUGUAAGAAAAUUCUGACCUAGAUGUACCUCUAUGAGAAGUGGUUGUUUCAGGUUCACCAGUGUCUUCCUCUUUUCAGUAGAAAAUCCUCUGCACUGUUGGCAUGUGUUACACUGUUGUGCAAAGACAUCUCGAUGAGUAUGGACAUACUGAAACUGGGCUUUAUUCUGGUUUUUCCAACAACCAUGUGCUUCAAAAAUUAAUGGGAAGAGACUCUUGUGAAAAGAUCGAGAGGAGAGCCGGUUGUGACUCCAUAUGAAACUCAAAUAUACUCCAAUGAAACAAAAUGUUAUUACGCUGACUGUCUGUAAAAUGAGAACACAGAGGAGCAGAGGAGGACAGUGCCGUCUGCUGUAUCAACACGGGCAGGACUUUGUUAAUGAAUGUGACCCCAGGUUCACGUUGAUGAUGAUGAUUUCUCCACCUGAUUGGUUUAACAGCAGAGGACAGUGGGAGAUACACCUGCGAGUGUAUAAAAACUGAUGGAACAUUUAAUCUUCAUGUCAAUGUCACCAUAAAAGAUGAUGUCAGUCAGAAAAGAUUAAAUCAGAAAGAGGCUCAGACUUCAGCCAAAAUGACUAAUUCCAUUUAUUUGAUUGGUGUGGCGGUUGUCAUCAGUGGAGUUAUUCUGGGAUUUAUCUUCCAAGUGAAAAGUCUAUGGGGCUGUUUGAGGUCAGAAGCAUCCGGACAGUCUAUGCAUGAAACUCACAGCUCUUUGGAACAUGAACAUGACCCAGAUGACCCCUACACAAGCCUUCAUCAGCCAGCAAAUGAUCUUUACCAAACACUUUCCUCUGAGCACCAUCACACCCAGACAAACUCAGCACAGAAACUGUCCCAACUUAAUUAUAAAGAAAUGGAUCAGAGUUGUAAAAUCUCUGAAAAAACAAAAGCUAGGUUACCACGGACUGUUGUUUGCCACAUCGUUUAAAUAUGUUUUUGCAAUGUCACAAAUGUCACGGUACUGGGUCUAUGACCCAGUGUUUUGUGUGUUUUAGUUUUAUUCUUUGAUUAUGAU